CAGAUCAGGGAUCGUGAUCGAUUGCUCCUAGAAAGCUCGAGAGAGCAUCAGAGCUCUCUGACCCGGACACAGCCGCGACCCAAGAGAGAAACCCGACCGGAGUGACGCCGUCCGGCCACCGAUCAACGACUCACGACCAUCGAUCUCUUCCUCUAGUCAUUGCCGUCACGCCUGUGGGCUUCGAUCGCCCAUGCACCGGACGAGGAGGGAGAAACGACAGUGAGAAGUUCUGACUGCUCCGGCGAAGUUCAGCAAUUUCCGGCCACCGUCUGGGCCGCAUUCGCGCCGGCGACUUUUCCGGCAUUCUGGUCUGGGUUUCGGCUUCGGUUGCAGCUCUAGGCGAGAUAUUGUGAAGGUUUCUGGGAUAUUAACACCAAGGUCAUCAGUUCAUCCGUAGUCCAGUGCAGCAAGGAAUUUCAGCAAACCGAGUUGGUUUUCGAAGGUAGAUACCACCCUUGCAUCAAGUAUUUUUCUUCUGGGAAUGAUUGGGAGUUAAAUACUAUGAUAGUGGGUUGAGAUCAUAAUCUGAUAUUGUGAUCUUGAAUCAGAAAUUUGGUUGAAUUGUUGGUUUGAAGAUAUGUUUGAACUAGGAGGACAGAUUGGAUGAGUUGUGAACACUUGAAUGAAUUAUGAUUAUCAUGUUUGA